rnacentral:rRNA from 2 species
AAAUUGAAGAGUUUGAUCAUGGCUCAGAUUGAACGCUGGCGGCAGGCCUAACACAUGCAAGUCGAACGGUAACAGGAAGCAGCUUGCUGCUUUGCUGACGAGUGGCGGACGGGUGAGUAAUGU